rfam:Rattus norvegicus chromosome 2, whole genome shotgun sequence.
GGGGAUUUAGCUCAGUGGUUAGAGCGCUUGCCUAGGAAGCGCGAGGCCCUGGGUUCCGUCCCCAGCUCCG